rnacentral:lncRNA from 1 species
UGCAGAGGAAUUUGUGACUUUAAGAUCCAUGAAGGCGCAGAUGCUAGUAUCGAUCCAAUGGUUGAUGGUCGUCCACGCAGGUGCCCAUGAUGGCUCCCAUUUCGAUCGUCGUGACACUGUUACGGGGCAAAGUUAGUACUGUUCAUAUGUUUAUUAGAAAACAACUCAAAAACUUCUGUGUUAUUAUGGUGUCGUUCAACGUGGACAUGACCAUUAUACUUGCAACAGAAAAAAUAUGGCAACGAGAACCAAGGUUGAUGAGUUUUAGAGGUUAAUGUGGUAACUUUAAGCUCGAAUCUGGAGAUUGUUAACUGUUUAUAUUUAUGAGACAACGCAGAGCCUAAGCCUCGGAAAAAAUCUCGGAGUGGAACCUUGGUAUCCAGGGGCUAAGCAGAUCAUCGCUGCGGCGAACUGUCUGGUUGGUCUCCUUGAAUUCAUUGGAGAUGAUCUGAUUGAAACAGACGGCCUGCACCCUCUUCAAGGGAUAAUUACUUUUUACGGUACAGAAACUCCAAGUUGACAUGGUGGAGUUGGAAUUUGUUGGAAUAAAGACGCCAUGGUGGUGAUUCCACGGAAACGGAGACCUCGCCAGAUCAUCCAACACUAGAUGCCGCAUCUGAUCCUUCGGGAGCCGGAAGUGUAGCUGCGGCCGAGGGGGCAGGAGCGGAAUUUAGCCAAGAGCAUUCGGAAACGAUUCAUCGCGACCGAAAGAAACGAAUUAGGUUAAUUUCAACACUUCCACAAGGGGAUGGCAAUUACGAUCUGCCUGGCUGAAUCACUAAACAACCUAAAUUGCGAAGGCAGCUGCACCCCAUGAGAUCCGAGUGCUGUGGAUCGAGCCAUGGCACAAUCUGCAGAAACGAUUCGUUCCCCUUAUUCACACUGUUCACCACGGUUGUUUUACCAGACCACACUCAGUCAAGCCGAAGCGCCGCAUACCAGCGACCAACACUAUUGAUAGUGAGAAUCAAUCUUUACAUGGAGAGCCCGAAAAUGUUCUAACGCGAACGUGGACCCGUUCCUACCUCCCCAUUUCUCACCAUCGGCUCGAGCCCCCAUGAUCCCGCACGCGCUCCUCCCCGCUCGACUGUGCGUGGUAAGGAAAAGGCGCUACCAAUUCUAGCAGAUUCGAUCGUCUCCCUCCCCACCCACUUCGCAAAACCCUGGGACGUUUGGCCUUACAAUCGUAUUGGAAAUCCAGAAGCGAACAUGGCAACCACUGUAGAACUCCUGAUGAAGUCGAAUCCUUAGAUCGUGGAGCGGUGAGGGAAUCAGCAGCAGACGGAUUAGUUCUUCAACUUUCAGUCACAGCUGCCGGAAUGAACAGCGAAACAAUUCCUUUCAAUUCCCAGGGAUGUGGACGGGCCAGCAGCAGCAUGUCGGAGCUCGGUGUGUUGUUGAUAGGCUUGAGCCGGCAAGUGACGAUCAUCACCUCACCCGCUUGCGCUCCUCCUCUUCCACAAUUCCGAUUCUUCUCUUUGCUCCUCUGUCGCCACGGAUCUCAAUCCCCACCUUCGAUCCCUCGUUCGAUCGCACCUUCUCGUCCUGGUGCUGCUGCAAAUCGGUCGACCUCGGCUAGUCGUCGUCAAUCAGGCGCGGUCCUUUUUGCACUGUGGAGCCCCCCCAUUGCGGUGUGAACGGGGCACGUCUCGCAUGAGUCCGAAACCCUGUACUUCUUCAUUCAUUCCGAAGUUGCCCGUAACCGAUGAACCAUUAUCCAACGUCCGAUUUUGAGGAAUCUUGCCCGUCCAUUGGAGCGAAUCUGAGCCUUCCGUUUAUUAGGGGAUCUGCACCGUCCCUUCAGAGACGAUCUUCGCCGCUGUUGAAAAGCCAGUGUGAGGCUGGGAUCGUUUCUAGUCGUUCAACUGGAUCCAUUUCCUGCCAUUUAUUUAUUUAUUUAUUUAUUUAUUUUUGUGAAUUCCUGUUUCCAAAUUUAAUCACUUUCGUGGAAUUUAAGGUUUUUCAAGGAAGUGAUUAAAUUACACUUAAAAUAAACGUUUUUCUGUUAUUAACCCUACACUUCUGUACACUACAUAAAUAAAGUAUUUUAUCAACAUCAGAAUAUUUUAUUUAUUUACUAAUUUUUUGAUGGAUUUUUGAAUUCCGGUUGGACGCCCUGUUUAUAAUCUUUGAAUUCGUGGUUGUACCUUUCUAAACAAAUACACCU